rnacentral:rRNA from 1 species
UACGGGGGGGGGCAAGCGUUGUUCGGAAUUACUGGGCGUAAAGGGCUCGUAGGCGGCCAACUAAGUCAGACGUGAAAUCCCUCGGCUUAACCGGGGAACUGCGUCUGAUACUGGUUGGCUUGAAUCCGGGAGAGGGAUGUGGAAUUCCAGGUGUAGCGGUGAAAUGCGUAGAUAUCUGGAGGAACACCGGUGGCGAAGGCGGC